UAGAAUUUUUCCUAUUCUUUUCAGAAUAUACAGGCUAAGCUGUUAUUAUUCACUUUUCCAUUUUUAGAAUCGACGAUUAAAUUGCACAGCACUACUGUGUUGUACCAAUUAAAAUAACUACUGUCUAUUUGGCAGUCCUUUAAUGGGAAAUGAAAUUCACUUUUAGGCAUAUAUCACGGUAAUACAUAUAUCAUAUGGUAUACAAUUUAGAUCAUUUUGGAAGACAGUAGCUGUAUUAGUUCGUAUUCCCCUACCUAGUCCUGGUUACGAGCAUCAAUUUUGUUAAUUAAGAAUUUUAAACCCUGUGAAUUUAUAGUACAAUUAUGUUUUACUUCAUAAGUAGGUCUUUACCCCUCUACAACUAUUAACAAAAUGUCCACUUAUAUUAUUUGCUGACGGUUUCAAGGGCUGAUGAAUUUUGUAUGAAGAUUUGCCCUUUUUUCUAAGCUUUGCUCACUGCACAUCAGCUGUUUGUCAGCAAAACAUAACAGUGAAGACUUCUGACUUAAAUCUUUUUUUUUUUUUUUUAAAGAAAAGCCAAUUCAUCAGGUAGGAAAGACUGCUGCUCACACUCUCGAGUCCUGCCAAAGACAAAUGACUGUAAAAAUUUAAAAUCAAUCAUUAACAGAUUAGCUGUUGGUCCAAAGUAAAUAGCAAUCAGCUUAUUAGGCAUCAGGCAGAGUGAGAUAAAGGGGAAGAGUUAUUGAAAAUGAGGAUGUUUGCUGGGGCUGUGCUGAUGGAGCAGAACAAGGAAAGGCUGUUUCUUUGUUGCUCUAAUUACAAAUGGAAAAUAACCUACAGUGCUGAACAAGUUGAGCUCCCUAGCUGAAUUGAAUGGAGCAUAGUGCUUAUGUUCUACGUCAUGGAUUGAUUUAUCUUGAUUAUCAGUAGUUUGCACUACUUCUUCCCCUCCCCAGAAGGACCAGUUUGGCAUUCUCUUAUACUGAAGUAAAUGAAAUUUUUUGGCUCUGAAAAGAAUGAGGUGGGAGGGAGGCUUGCCACAGUAGAAAUGCCCUUCUCGUACAAAACUCUAAUUCUCACACAGGAAAUACUUCUCAAAUGAUGGAAUUUUGUUUGUGACAGGGUUUCAUUAUGGUAAAGCAACAAAUUGCUGGUGACUAAAUCACAGUCGGCUCUGUGCCGCCGUUGUAUUCAGACAUGAUGAAAUUCUGCAAAGCAGAUCAAUUCAGAAGAACAGGGAUGUUGCAAGAGGAAACCGGGAGGGAGAAAAAGGCUGAGAAGACAGAAACAAUCAGAGUCGGGUAGGAAGCGAAGCUGGCGGGGAUGAAGAAGAAAACAAUAGCUGAGAGUAAAAUGAGAUGAGGAAGCAGAAAACACAAAGAAGUGAAGUAGGAAGUAGGAGGAAAUGGGUGCAAGUUAAAGUCGAUGACAAAAGCUCUCUUUCAUCAGGUAAACACUGAAGUGUUUACAUAGAGAGUAACUGACCAUGAGAAUGAUUUACUGCAGCUAUUUCUUCCUUACCAGGCACGUUAAAUCCAGGAAAAGAAGAGUCAGCUGAAAUGACAAAGUAGCAGAAGUCUCUUUUCCACAUACUGAAAUGGCUGAAUAAGCUACACAGAGCAGAAAUGACUUUCCUGCCUGCGAUUUGCAGAGUCCCAGGACAGCAGCUCACACCUGGGGGCGACAGAGCUGUGGCAGUCUGUCAUCUUUGAGCUAUUUUCUCUAUGCACCGAGAAGGAGAGCGGUGAUGCUGCCUUCUGUCUAUGACAGGAAUUGUUUGAAUUAUUUACAAUGAACGGAAAGACAGCUGGGGGGAGAGGAUGGAGAGGCUGGUGCAAUUCUAUAGACAUUGAUCCUGCCGGGAAAAAGAGCAAACUGACUUGCAGUACAAAUGGCAGUGUUGCAAAUGUGAAAGGAAGACCAUUUUCCAAUGUCACUUUCACAAGCUAAAAGAAGUCUCCAUACAUAUUAUGCAUAAGUGAAUGCACAUAGGUGUCCCAGAAGUUCAAGAUGGUUCCUUGUUUUCUUCGUUUCCUACUUAGUUCUCUUUCCAAUGGAAGCUGUGCAGUGGACUUUGAUCUUUUGCAAGAUUUCUCUUCCUGAAGAAAGGUGCCGGUUUAUUACCAAACCGCUUGUAAGAACAGAUCAAAGGCAGAGGAAGAGUGGGGGCUGCAGUCUGGCCAGCUGCUGUGAUGUUCUACAGAAAAUCAAGGACGAUAUCCACAGGACCUGCGAUGUAUCAAGCCAGCUCUUAGUAACAGAGGAAGGCCAAGAGUAGUUGACAAUAAGACUGUAAAGAAACAGUUAUGCUGGUGACACUUCUUAUAUGAGGACUGCCUUCCUAUUUUUCCACAAAUGUAUUCCUGUUAUACAGUUUUUUGUUCUUUUAAUUAAGCACUGCAGGAGAAAAUAAUGGGAUCUUAAAGCCUCAUGUAUUUUGGAAAAGGUAGUAGUAAAUUGUACGGUUUUGACCUUUUCAGCUUUUUGUAAUUUGAUUGGCUGUCUGUUCUUUUUCCUCCACUAUUUACAGCUGCAGUGAACUGUGCAGAAGGGGUAGGAUGGCUAGCCAGCUGAAAUGCAGAAUAUUUAAAAGGUUAAAAUGCUGCAACAUACUGGUGCCUUCCACAGAGUGUAUGGGCAUUAUAAAUUUUGUUGCGUUGAUCACAUAAAGGAUUGAGAAAUUAAAUGACUUCAUGAAUCAUUUUUUGUGGGACAACAAAUGUGACCAAAAUGGGGAAAAAUGGUAUCACUUUGACCCCAGAUCUGGGAAGCAUAUUUUUUUGUAUGUUUAUUAUUUCUGCUGCGGUAAUAGGUGAAGACCCCCUCUGAAGCACAGCAUCAUUUUAGCAGGCACUGAAUAUGUACAAGUGAGACAAAGACAAGCCCUGCCCCAGAAAGCGUGC
ensembl:lncRNA